CACGUAGGGCGCAAGCGUUGUCCGGAAUUAUUGGGCGUAAAGAGCUCGUAGACGGUCUGUUGCGUCCGCUGUGAAAACUCGGGGCUUAACCCCGAGCCUGCAGUGGAUACGGGCAGACUAGAGGUAGGUAGGGGAGAAUGGAAUUCCCGGUGUAGCGGUGAAAUGCGCAGAUAUCGGGAGGAACACCGGUGGCGAAGGCGGUUCUCUGGGCCUUACCUGACGCUGAGGAGCGAAAGCUAGGGGAGCAAACAGG
rnacentral:rRNA from 1 species